rnacentral:rRNA from 1 species
CUGCCAGUAGUCAUAUGCUGUUCAAAGAUUAAGCCAUGCAUGUCUCAGUACAAGCCAAAUUAAGGUGAAACCGCGAAAGGCUCAUUAAAUCAGUUAUGGUUCCUUAGAUCGUACCCACAAUUACUUGGAUAACUGUGGUAAUUCUAGAGCUAAUACAUGCAAACAGAGCUCCGACCGGAGACGGAAGGAGUGCUUUUAUUAGAUCAAAACCAAUCGGUGGCGAGUUCGCUCGUCAUCGUACAACUUGGUGACUCUGAAUAACUUUACGCUGAUCGCACGGUCUCGCACCGGCGACGCAUCUUUCAAAUGUCUGCCUUAUCAACUGUCGAUGGUAGGUUCUGCGCCUACCAUGGUUGUAACGGGUAACGGGGAAUCAGGGUUCGAUUCCGGAGAGGGAGCCUGAGAAACGGCUACCACAUCCAAGGAAGGCAGCAGGCGCGCAAAUUACCCACUCCCGGCACGGGGAGGUAGUGACGAAAAAUAACGAUACGGGACUCAUCCGAGGCCCCGUAAUCGGAAUGAGUACACUCUAAACCCUUUAACGAGGAUCAAUUGGAGGGCAAGUCUGGUGCCAGCAGCCGCGGUAAUUCCAGCUCCAAUAGCGUAUAUUAAAGU